GCAGAAAGAUCAAGUUUAAUCAGUUUUAGGAGUCAUCAAACUCUGUAGUGGUGAAUCCCGCACUCCAUACCAUACUUCAUUUUCAGAAAAGACGGCCAAUAAGAUAGUAUGGAUCGGAGUAUUCCCCUUUUCUCUUCUUGAGAGAGUUAUAAAAUGCAGUAACAUUGCUGAUAGUGGCAUACAACUAUUGUGAACUGAAUCCAAAGAAGAAGUCUUCCACUACAAACGGAAACGAAUAUUUCUGAAAUGGCAUCCUCAUCAUUCUUGCUUAUCGCCGCAGUUGCCUGCAUCUCCUUCCAAUACACUUUGGCUUAUCCCAUGGAGGAAGUUGACGUAGAUGAAGAACCACUUUUCGAAUUUGUUGUUCCCGAAGGGCCUCAAAUAUAUGAUCACCUAAGAUAUGCCAGAUCUAUUCAACCCGGAGCCCCAAACUUCCCAAUGCCUGGUCAAGGAAAACAGGAAGGGUGGAAAUUUGACCCAUCACUCACAAGAGGUGAAGAUGGUAACACCUUAGGUUCUAUCAACAUUCAUCAUACUGGACCUAACCACGAAGUAGGAGCCAACUGGGAUAAAGUAAUCAGAGGACCAGGAAAAGCUAAACCAACUUACUCCAUUCACGGUAGUUGGAGGUGGUGAAGGUUAUGAAGCAUCAUAAUUUGUAAUUUUGCUCAAUACGCUUAUUUUUUAAUAUUAACUGUGAUUUUUUUCAUGUUAUUAAAAAAUUAUAUUUAUGCUAGUAGGA